GAUUUUGAACUUGCUUCCUUGAAUCAUUCUACUUUGGAGUAGACGGCUUUACAUCUUUCUUGAAAAAAUAAAUAAAAACAAGUGAAAAGUCCUCAGCUUGGUGCAGUGAUUUUACUCUGCAGAAAAACGUAAAGGUCUGUUACAUUUCCCAGAAUGGUUCCCAGUGCUGGAGAUAAUUCCUUUUCGGAGAACCUACAUUUCUCACCUGCUGAUUGCAAUUAGCCACUGCCAGCUGGGGCCUGGUAUGCAGCUGAAAAGCUAACAAGAAGUGGAGACCACGCGGAACCCAGACAGAGCAGAGGAUGUGAAAUAACUGCAUGUUUUCUUUGACCACCCAAAGCAGUAGCCCAUCUCUGGGUUCUUCCUAAGCAGACAGAAUGCAGUCUGAUGACCCCAGGAGCAUCCACUCAGAACCACACCGACCAGGACUAAAAGCCACGUGCCUUCUGCCCUGGAAUCGGCCACACUUCCUGAAUCCCUGGCAGGCCAGGCCAGGCCAGGCUGGGCCAGCCGUGCUGAGGAAGUCUGGCCUCCAGGCUGCGAGAUUCCAGCAAGCACAGUCCCUUCACAGAUAAGGAGACUGAAUUCUGCCAACAACCAUGUGAGCUUGGAAGAGGAUCCCAAGCCCCAGACACCUAGACUGCAGCCUGACGAGAUUCAGUGGAGGACCGAGCCAAGCUGUGUUCAAGCCCCUGACCCACAGGAAUGGUGGAACUGUACUUAACGGCGAGGCACUAAGUGUGUGGAAAAUUCAUAUAAAUGGCCAAACAAUAUAUCCCAUCCCACACUCUCCCCUACAGCUGUGACCUUGACAUUCCUCCCAUCAAGAGGCAGAGUCUAAUUCCCAUCACCUUGAGUCCGGAUGGGCUUGUGACUCUUUGAUAGAGGACACUGGAUUUUCAAGACUGGGUCAUAAAAAGCGAUGCAGCUUCCACCUUGUCACUGGAUCACUUGCACUGGAGCCCUGAGCUGCCACGCCAGAAAUCUGACUAUGCUGAGGCCAGCACGUUGUGAGGCAGCCCAGGCUCUAGGCACAUGAGAGCACAACACUUCCUGUGAGCCCAGCCUCCGGCCAUUGAGUCAUUCCCAAGCUCUCUAGUCUUUCCAGCUGAGGUUCUAGGCAUCAAGGAGCAGAGAAAAGCCAUCCCCACUGUGCCCUAACCAAAUUCCUGACCCACUGAAUCCAUGAAGGUAAUAAAAUGGUUGUUGCUUUACAUUAGUAACUUUGGGGGCAGUUUGCUACAUGGUAAUAGUAAUCAGAAAUCAGGCCAAACCCGAAAUCCAUGGGGUGGGAAAGUAAACUCCGCCUACUCCAGUGUGAAGUACUGCAAAUUCACAUGGCAAAGGGCAUACAUGUAUAAUUUUCAAAUUGCAAGGGUCUGAAGGAUUGGGAGCAACACCAUGAUCUAUCAUACAGCCUUAUAUCUGGUUAUGUUAAGGAUUCAGCUGAGGCCCAGAGAAGGUUCGUGCUUUGUUCAUAAUCACACAGCAUUGGUGUCAGGGCUUCAGAAUCAGCCCUGGUGAGCCUCUAGGACUGUCCAUAUCUAUGUGUUUGCCACACCCCGAGCUGUAACUGGUCGAAUAAACUUGACCUGAGAAUGACCUUCCCAGUGAAAGAGGAACCCAAUGAACGUAGACCCUGAAUGAUUUCCUUAGCUUUUAAAAGCCCCGGGCUGGUACCUGUUGUAAAUGGUUGUGCAGUAUCGAUAUUUAUUGAAUUUUGCACCCUGUGAGUCUGUUUUGUGGCUGCACAUCCAUGAUGGGUCACCAUUUUUUUUAAAGAUUAUAAAUGUAACAUGCAAAAAUCAUGUUUGUUACACUUAUACAUAUUUAUAUCAUACAUUUGCAGUA